GUUGUACUCCCUCCGUCCUAAAAUNNNNNUCUUAGAUUUGUCUAGAUAUAAAUGUAUCUAGUCACAUUUUAAUAUUUAGAUACUUUUAUUUCUAGACAAACCUAAGACAAGCAUUUUGGGACGGAGGGAGUAUGAU
rfam:Hordeum vulgare subsp. vulgare, WGS project CAJW01000000 data, contig: morex_contig_258227